ACCGGUGGUGAUUACUGUGAGGCCACACCUGUUCCCAUCCCGAACACAGAAGUUAAGCUCACUUGUGCCGAAAAUACUUGACUGGAGACGGUCCGGAAAGAUAGGUUGCUGCCGGUU
rfam:Ruminococcaceae bacterium strain KHP2 genome assembly, contig: Ga0059115_116